rnacentral:misc_RNA from 1 species
UACGUAGGGUCCAAGCGUUGUCCGGAAUUAUUGGGCGUAAAGAGCUCGUAGGCGGUCCGUUAAGUCGGAAGUGAAAUCUCAAGGCUCAACCUUGAAACUGCUUUCGAUACUGGCGGACUUGAGGCAGGUAGGGGAAGGUGGAAUUCCUGGUGUAGCGGUGAAAUGCGCAGAUAUCAGGAGGAACACCAGUGGCGAAGGCGGCCUUCUGGGCCUGUUCUGACGCUGAGGAGCGAAAGCGUGGGGAGCAAACAGG